CCUACGGGUGGCAGCAGUGGGGAAUAUUGCGCAAUGGGCGAAAGCCUGACGCCGCGACGCCGCGUGAGGGAUGAAGGUCUUCUGAUCGUAAACCUCUGUCAGCAGGGAAGAACGGUCACUGUGCUAAUCAGCAGUGAAUUGACGGUACCUGCAAAGGAAGCACCGGCUAACUCCGUCCCAGCAGCCGCUGUAAUACGGAGGGGGCGAGCGUUAAUCUGACUUACUGUGCGUGAAGCGCUCGUAGGCGGUAUGUCAAGUCAAGGGUGAAAUCCCUGCCCUAAACGUGGGAACUGCCUUUGAAACUGGCAAACUGGAGUGUGUGAGAGGAUAGUGGAAUUCCAGGUGUAGGAGUGAAAUCCGUAGAUAUCUGGAGGAACAUCAGUGGCGAAGGCGACUAUCUGGCACAUAACUGACGCUGAGGAGCGAAAGCGUGGGUAGCAAACAGGAUUAGAUACCCGGGUAGUC
rnacentral:rRNA from 1 species